rnacentral:lncRNA from 1 species
GCUCAGGCCACGUCAAGUGCCAGCUCAGCCCAGCAUGCUGCAUCGUCACCUCUGAAUUUGGCCCAUGUUCCUGGAGAAGAGCCCCCACCAGCUCCCAACCUAGUGGCCCAAGAAAAUGGGCCUGAGAAUGUUCAAAUGAAUGCACAGGGCGGCCCAGUGCUAAAUGAAGAAGACUUCAACCGCGACUGGCUGGACUGGGUGUACACGUUCUCGCGAGCUGCCGUCCUCCUCAGCAUCGUAUACUUCUACUCUUCCUUUAGUCGGUUUAUCAUGGUAAUGGGAGCCAUGCUGCUGGUUUAUUUGUGAGUGAUGGGUAUUAACUGUUUGUGAUUCUCUCGGUUGCUUUUGAAACUGUUUACCAUAGGCUGGCAUGACAGUCAGCAGUGCUGACUGGAGGAGUUUUAAUGUAGGCCCUCAUGUGUCUAGCAUAUUCUGCUACCCAAGAGUGAGGACAAGAGUCUUGUGUAAGAGUUUAUCAGACCUGGUUAAAGUAGAGGUUUUGUUUAUUGUAUUUUAUAUAAAUGUUUAAUCCCGUGAUUCACAGACACCCAGUUAUUUAGAACUCAGAUAUAUGAUAAGUGCUCUCAUAAGGUUGUUCUUUAAAGUUAUGUUUUAUCAAUAAUGAUCUUAGAAACAUAGGUCAUACUUUUCUAUAAGUAGAUUUUUUUUUUCCUGGCUGUGCCUUCUCUUUAAGAGGCAAAGAAAUAUACCUAGUUAUAUUUUUUUUUUUUUUUUUUUUGUCCCAAAGGUUUUGUGAUUUAAUGUGUCACACUGAGCCAGUUAUGUGCAAUAUAAGCUUUCAGGGUUGAAUUGGGUUUUGUUUUGCCGGCAUUACCUUGAGAAAUCCCCUAGCUUGAAGGACGAUACCUGUUCUUUAUCUUUUAUAAUAGCUCCAGUAGUUUACUUUUCUUGAGGGACACUACUUAAUUGUGUUACAAAUACAAGUGACUGUGGCUUCUUUUCUUUCUGUUUCACUGAACAGACACCAAGCUGGAUGGUUUCCUUUCAGGCAAGAAGGCGGUCAACAACAGGCUCCCAACAAUGUUGACGCUAACAACGAGGGGCAGAAUGCAAACAACCUAGAACUUGAAGAAAUGGAGCGCCUUAUGGAUGAUGGACUCGAAGAUGAGAGUGGAGAAGAUGCAGGUGAAGAUGCCAGUGCAGCUCAAAGGCCUGGGCUAAUGGCUUCCGCUUGGUCUUUUAUCACCACCUUUUUUACUUCACUGAUACCAGAGGGGCCUCCCCAAGUUGCCAAUUAGACCUGAAAAACUGUGCCAGCUGCAAAGGAGGGUUUGACUUUAGGAAAGUGGUUUAAAUAACAGUGCAAUUUUAAAAAAAAUGUAUAACUUUUUUUUUUGAUGAUCAUGUACAGAGGUCUUUUCUUUAAGCUUCUCAUGCAUAUGAAUAUUUUAAGCACAAAUGGACUACUAAGCUUGUGGUUUCUCUUUGUUUGUUUAAAGAUCCUAACAGAACAUAGCCUAACAGUACUGGUCUUCCAGUUUUAUUCAUUUCAAUUAUGUGUAGUGCGCUGAGCAGAACCACUGUGUGUUACUUCUUUAAAGAGCUGCUACACUUUAAAUGUUCAUAGCUAGAUGGCCAGCCCUUCAGUGUGUACUUUGAAUAAAUAUAUCUAUUUUCUGUGAAUUAUCCUGAAAGUUUUAAACAGAAAUGACCUCAUAGUUUUUAAUAAAGUUUAUUUACCUAAAAUGUGCUAGUAGCAUCUUGCCCACCCAUAAAGCAAUAAACUUCUCAAAAAUAUUAAUUUUGACAUUUGAAUAAAUGAUGGAAACUUUCUAUUUUAAGGACACAUGUCCCAUCAGUUGGAAUUAGUACCUUAAAAGAAAAAAAGGCAGCUCUUCAUUGGAAUUAAGUGACACAAAAUGUUUGAUAUGGCAGUACUUUUAUAAAAUAUGCUGGAAAUUGCUCCCUGUACUUUUUUAAAUAAAAAGUCAAUUAUGAUAAACAGCCUUAUG